CUUCCUCAGCCUCCCAAGUCAAUAGGAAUACAGGUGUGCACCACCACACCCAGCUGGAACAAUUUUAAUCAGUCACUCUUUGCUUUCUAGAAUUCUGCAAAUGAAUGGACUACCCUUAUAGAGCAACCCCUCCCUAUUCCAUGAACAUUGGUACUUACCCUUUGAUUUUUUUCUCUAGGUAUCUUGCGGUACCGAGUAGAUUUCCAGGGAAUGGAAUACCAAGGAGGAGACGAUGAAUUUUUUGACCUUGAUGACUACUAGGUAGUCGACAUGGGUCCGGCAAAAUGUGCCUCACCCUCCAGCAUCCAACCCAAGGAGCAUACCCGUGGUGGAAUCCAAACAGAUCCCUGCCUUACAAUUGGAACAUUUCCAGAACUUAAUCCAUGAGCAUUGGAUACUGAAAAGAAAACCGAAACAAAACCAGACCCAACCCUGUACAUUGGUUUGUCAUGGUGUCAGCGCAGCAGCCUGCAACUAAGUUCCUAAAUGCCACUUUGGACUAAUUUAAAAAGAAUCCCAGUUUUUACUUUUACUUGAUGGUGAAAUUGGUUGCUCUUGUAUUUUAUGAAAAAAAAAAUGAUUUUUUUAACCUUCAUACAUAGAAGCAAAAUACUUUAACUGCUGUAAACCUUCAAAAGUUAAUAGAAGCGAGAUCAUACUGGUUUGUUUCUUAUUUUGAUUGGAGAAAAAUUAAAAUUGCUGCAUUUCGCAGUGACCCAUUUACAUGGCAUUCUCAGCUUAGACUGCAUAAGAAGAAAUACAUGUGGUGAAAUGUUGGAACCAUUUCUCUCUUGGUCUCUGUUUAAUGUUGAAAGGGUGAGCUAAUAGGAGGCAGUUUCAACCUCACUCCCACACACCCCUUCCCCAAACUGUCAGUUUCAAGGAUGCAGAUUGCAUUGUAAAGUCAAACUGACUCAUGAAGCAUUGAGGCCAGUGCACUGUUUACUUUCAUCUGUUUGGCAGACACAUUUGUGCCCGAUGUUUGGGAGCCCUUUGUAUCAUUUACUUUAACAAGGGUCCCCAUAAACCUAGCCUACUAGAAAUCAGUUUGGGAUGGAUAUGGUUGGGCUUCUGUGCUAUUUGCUGGGAUUGGGAGAAAUAAAACAAACAAUUUUAGUGGAAGCAAAGAAAUUUAAAGAUUAUUUUAUUUUGCUUGGGUCUACCCUUGGUAAAAAGGGAGGUGGUCGUGUUUCCUUGUGUUGGGUGGCAUGAGAUUAUGUGAAUGUUUUGAUUUUUUUUUUUUUUUUUUUUAAUGAAAUGGAAGAUUUUUCACCGGGACGACAGACAAGACAUGUAUGAUUGCAUGGAAUUAUAAACCCUUGGUGGGGUUUGAGCAUCUGUUUCAAAUGUGGGACUUAAAAGCACCUCUCAGAUGAGAAAUUAUGGGAGGAGGGUGGGAAGGGAAGGGGUGGGAAGGGAUGGGACACAGCUUCUGGCACGAUGGACUAAACCAUGUUGGAUCUAAAAAGUUGGCCUGAAAACCUGAAGCUUAUGCUUCAUAGCUAGGCUAUAAGGUGGACUAGAACCCAGCCCAUGCAAGUCAUGGCGUGCUCGAUGUGGUGACAGUGAACAAAGUGUAUAGGAUGUGCCCAGUGCUAGCAAUGAGAAAGUGUAUACCGAAUGGACUUUGAAGGACCAAAGGUUUUUUAAGUCAAUUGGUAUCACCACCACCCCAGUGACUAGGGUAGUGGGGUGCAUUUGGUUUUCAAAUUGGGUACUUUCAACACUUAGUGCCUGACUGCUGUUCUUCACUGACUUGAUUCAGUCACUCGUAGCUUUAUUGGUCUGAACCAACUCUUUGUUCCCAGGUUACAGACCUGCCUAUCGUUCCAAUAAUCCUGUUUCACUUGAAUGAAGGGAGUAUGUCUUAAAUGUAAAGCUUCUGGUACUCACACUGUGCUCUGAGGUCCAAAUAACUGUCUGUCAAUGUAUAACCUGAUGUCUCAACCCCCAGUGAGAAGAGUCAAUUCUUUGGUGUUCACCGAUGUGGGAGGCUUCACCGGAACAGGCUUUUGCUUUGGGCUCUGCUGUUUGUUUGCAGAACACCCAAGAGCAAGUAAACAUGCUCUCUUCACAGCAGUACCUUAGGGUUUUGCCAUUGUAAAUGGGUCUAAUGUGAUAUGAUAAGACCAGAGAAAUUGGAUGUAAAUUUACAUUUUUGAAUAUGCUUGUUGUUUCACAUGAUACAUUUAGGGUAUGCAGCUCCUUUUGUAGUUUUUAUUUUUACUAUUUAAGUUUGGAAAUGAUGCCAAAUUUUUGUAUUUCUUUAAUCAAUGUGUUCUCUUCGGUGAUAUAUAUUGCAUUAUAUAUUGAUGUGUGUAUCAAUAUAUACUGGUAUGUAUUACACUUACACAUGCAAACACAUAAAUAAGAGGGGGUGAAAAACGUAGCCUUUGCAUUCUCUAUAGCCUCUGCAGAGAGAUCUAAGCAGCGAAAUCUUGGUGUUGUGAUGUACAGAAAUGGAGAAGAGUAUUAAACCAUAUUUAAGAAUAUACUUUGUGUGCUUGAGAUUUUUUAGGACUGUUUCCUAGAAAAGUCUGAACUUUAGAGACAGUAUGAGAGGUCUUUGAAGUUUAUGUCAGAUUAGUCAUAGCUGAUAAAUUUGCAGCCUUAGACUUUAGUUUCUUCGCU
rnacentral:lncRNA from 1 species